AUUUGCAACAGCUGCUGCAACAGUGAGGAAAAUGUUGUCCUGACCAAUUAUGUUAGCAAAAUUUGAUGUGUAAAGUUUGUCUGUCACUGCUGAACCAGGAUUUGCCAGAACAAGCUGCUCAAACAAGUAACACAUUCUUGCAAUUAGAAGUCCUAUCUCAACCGAGACGAAAACAACCCCAAAGAAUGCUCCCAUGCAGGCAACAAAAUCGAAUUUAUCAGUCUUCCAGAUCAAAAUUGCUGCCUGAUAGUCCACAAGACUGAUGACGGCAGAAAUGAUGAUGGCGGCGAGAAUGGCAUUUGGAGUGUACUUAAAAAGAGGAGUGAUGAAUUGUAGUGUUAAAAAAACUACUAUUGACAUCACAAUAUUAGAGACUGCAGUUUGGCAGCCAGCCAUGUAAUUUACCGCCGACCGAGAGAAAGAACCUGAAAGGAAAAAAAUCGAUCAGAUGCUAAACUAGUCUAAACAUACUCUCAACUUCUGUAGAUAUUGAAUAAAUCGUCAAUUUAGUCCAUAAAA